UGUCAAUUUUUUUUAUUGUUGGCCUAAGUAUUUUGUUCUUCGGUAUGUUGUCUGCUUAAUCCCUUGUAUUACAGUAUACAGUCUUGAAAAAGGAUUCUUAUUUUAAAAAGCAAUGAUGAUUCAUAGUAAAAAGCUUAGUGGCGCAGAAAACCGAAAACGAACCCAUGCAAAAAAUGAAGCCCAAGCAAAAAUACCUUUAAAGACUGCUAAGUUAGAAACAUAUUUUAGCUUUACAGAUAAACAGCUUCACACAUCGCCGGUUGAAAAUGUAAAUAAUACAAGCGAUGAAAAUGAUCACAGCUUUAUUGUUAAUGAGAAUAACCUAUCAAAUCCAGACGAUUUAAUAUUAAUAUUAUCAAGUAAGAGCUGUACUGAAACUAGUAAAACUCUAUUGACUCCAGAAUCCAAAGAACUAAAUGAAACACCCUGUUUGUCCAUGCAUGAACAU